rnacentral:rRNA from 1 species
UGCAAGUCGAGCGCACCUUCGGGUGAGCGGCGGACGGGUGAGUAACGCGUGGGAAUAUACCCGGUACUGCGGAAUAGCCUCGGGAAACUGAGAGUAAUACCGCAUACGCCCUUCGGGGGAAAGAUUUAUCGGUAUCGGAUUAGCCCGCGUUGGAUUAGGUAGUUGGUGGGGUAAUGGCCUACCAAGCCGACGAUCCAUAGCUGGUUUGAGAGGAUGAUCAGCCACACUGGGACUGAGACACGGCCCAGACUCCUACGGGAGGCAGCAGUGGGGAAUCUUAGACAAUGGGGGAAACCCUGAUCUAGCCAUGCCGCGUGAGUGACGAAGGCCCUAGGGUCGUAAAGCUCUUUCAGCUGUGAAGAUAAUGACGGUAGCAGCAGAAGAAACCCCGGCUAACUCCGUGCCAGCAGCCGCGGUAAUACGGAGGGGGUUAGCGUUGUUCGGAAUUACUGGGCGUAAAGCGCGCGUAGGCGGACUGUUAAGUCAGAGGUGAAAUCCCAGGGCUCAACCCUGGAACUGCCUUUGAUACUGGCAGUCUCGAGUUCGAGAGAGGUGAGUGGAAUUCCGAGUGUAGAGGUGAAAUUCGUAGAUAUUCGGAGGAACACCAGUGGCGAAGGCGGCUCACUGGCUCGAUACUGACGCUGAGGUGCGAAAGUGUGGGGAGCAAACAGGAUUAGAUACCCUGGUAGUCCACACCGUAAACGAUGAAUGCCAGACGUCGGCGCGCAUGCGUGUCGGUGUCACAC